GUGAUCGUUGGUGAGCCCCAUUCGCUCCCAGUCUCCCUUCCACGUAGAUCUGUGACACACUUUCCGUUCUUUGGCUUUUCCUCUAUAAAGCCUGUAAAGGGAAAAACUGUCGGAAAAUGAAGAUCGCUGAGCGCCCCGUUUUAAUCGUCAUAAUCACUGGGAUUUUGGUCUUGUUUUAUUUCUUCUCGAGGGAAAAUCCACCAACAGGUUUACUCACCCCCAAAAGUACUUUGACAAUGGCCAACCAACCCCCUGCAGUCAGCGUACAAACUGAAGCCCCCGAGCUGCUUAUACCGGAGGAAUUCCCUAUUCUCUCAGCCCAG